UACGAAGGGUGCAAGCGUUACUCGGAAUUACUGGGCGUAAAGCGUGCGUAGGUGGUUUGUUAAGUCUGUUGUGAAAGCCCCGGGCUCAACCUGGGAAUGGCAAUGGAUACUGGCAAGCUAGAGUGCGGUAGAGGGUAGUGGAAUUCCCGGUGUAGCGGUGAAAUGCGUAGAGAUCGGGAGGAACACCAGUGGCGAAGGCGGCUACCUGGACCGAGCACUGACACUGAGGCACGAAGCGUGGGGAAGCAAACAGGG
rnacentral:rRNA from 1 species